UACGGAGGGUGCAAGCGUUGUCCGGAUUUAUUGGGUUUAAAGGGUGCGUAGGCGGCCCUGUAAGUCAGUGGUGAAAUACUGCAGCUUAACUGUAGCAUUGCCAUUGAUACUGCAGGGCUUGAGUACAGAUGAGGUAGGCGGAAUUGAUGGUGUAGCGGUGAAAUGCAUAGAUACCAUCAAGAACACCGAUUGCGAAGGCAGCUUACUAAGCUGUAACUGACGCUGAGGCACGAAAAGCGUGGGGGAUCGAACAGG
rnacentral:rRNA from 1 species